AGCCUGCUCUCUCGUCCCACCUACGAUUGUAACAAUGCUCUUCUUACUGCCCUCAUCCACAUAGGUUUACCGCCACCCUUUGAGUCCUAAACCAUCUGACGCUCCCUCCAGCGACUCUGUGCACCAAAUAAGUAGUGGUGAGCUCAGUGUCUUGUCUUUGCCCCCUCUGAGGCACUGACCUCCCGGCCCCCUACGUGCUAUGAAAUUAUGCGAGUCUCUAUGGUCUUUCUUUAGCCCAGGGUACCCCCCUUUUUAGGCAGAUGGGAGGAUUGUUCAUCCUCCAGUAUUUGGUGCCCACGAGCCUGUGAGGGAAGAUUCCACGUCAGGACGUGUCGUUCGGAAGGUGUCCAAAGAGAAAGUAAAAGGAGCUUGCAGAAGACCAAGCGAGAAACAGGCAGGGGAAUACGGCCAAUGUAACCCAGGAAAUGGGCCUCUGCACCUCUGCAAGCCAAGGUGCAGCUGUUUCCUCUGUGGCCUUGGCCCACUCCGUUCAAACAGCUCAUUUCAUAGAUAAUUGGAUCAUGACUGCUGAUGAGGCCUGGAAAACACAGCAUUCGAUAGACGCUGAGAUGCAGUCCCAAUCUGUGGCAGAGGGGCCCAGAUCAAAUGACGUCCGGAGACGGUGGAACCACAGGUCACAAUGAUUCAACUUCUACAAGCCGAUAAAAAGAAAGGGAGAUCUCUCGAGAGAAUUCUACAUAAUUUUAGGGGAAAAUCAUUUCAUAAUUAAAUUGUUG